GUGCCAGCCGCCGCGGUAAUACGUAGGGUGCGAGCGUUAAUCGGAAUUACUGGGCGUAAAGCGUGCGCAGGCGGUUGUGCAAGACAGAUGUGAAAUCCCCGGGCUUAACCUGGGAAUUGCAUUUGUGACUGCACGGCUAGAGUGUGUCAGAGGGGGGUAGAAUUCCACGUGUAGCAGUGAAAUGCGUAGAGAUGUGGAGGAAUACCGAUGGCGAAGGCAGCCCCCUGGGAUAACACUGACGCUCAUGCACGAAAGCGUGGGGAGCAAACAGGAUUAGAAACCCCCGUAGUCC
rnacentral:rRNA from 1 species